UGCCUCCUGGUGCUUACCACAGGCAGUGUUCUUACACUGACUGUAUAGAAAAAGGAGGAAGAGUAAACCUGCCCCAUGUACACCUCAGCCCAGGCCUUGUGCCUUGUCUGUAUUGUGAAUGGGGAAACAUAA
ensembl:snoRNA